rnacentral:rRNA from 1 species
GACGAACGCUGGCGGCGUGCCUAAUACAUGCAAGUAGAACGCAGUUGCGAACGGGUGAGUAACGCGUAGGUAACUGCCUCAUAGCGGGGGAUAACUAUUGGAAACGAUAGCUAAAACCGCAUACUGUGAGAUGGACCUGCGUUGUAUUAGCUAGUUGGUGAGGUAAAGGCUCACCAAGGCGACGAUACAUAGCCGACCUGAGAGGGGGAUCGGCCAAAAUGGGAAUGAGUAACGGCUCAGACGCCUAUGGGAGGGAGCAGGAGGGAAUCGUUGGCAAUGGACGGAAGGCUGACCGAGCAAAGCCGCGUGAGUGAAGGAGGUUUUCGGAGCGUAAAGCUCUGUUGUUAGAGAAGCGUUAACUAACCAGAAAGGGACGGCUAACUACGUGCCAGCAGCCGCGGUAAUAC